GAUGAACGCUGGCGGCGUGCCUAAUACAUGCAAGUCGAGCGAACGGGCGAGAAGCUUGCUUCUCUGAUGUUAGCGGCGGACGGGUGAGUAACACGUGGAUAACCUACCUAUAAGACUGGGAUAACUUCGGGAAACCGGAGCUAAUACCGGAUGAUAUUUCGAACCGCAUGGUUCAAAAGUGAAAGACGGUCUUGCUGUCACUUAUAGAUGGAUCCGCGCUGCAUUAGCUAGUUGGUAAGGUAACGGCUUACCAAGGCAACGAUGCAUAGCCGACCUGAGAGGGUGAUCGGCCACACUGGAACUGAGACACGGUCCAGACUCCUACGGGAGGCAGCAGUAGGGAAUCUUCCGCAAUGGGCGAAAGCCUGACGGAGCAACGCCGCGUGAGUGAUGAAGGUCUUCGGAUCGUAAAACUCUGUUAUUAGGGAAGAACAUAUGUGUAAGUAACUGUGCACAUCUUGACGGUACCUAAUCAGAAAGCCACGGCUAACUACGUG
rnacentral:rRNA from 1 species